rnacentral:lncRNA from 1 species
CAUCAGCUAGGGUUAAGGGUCAGGAUCAUGAAGUUGAAACAUAGCUGCCAUGGGAGCAAGUUUUGGAGAAGACAGGCUGUGGGCUGGGAAAACACCCCCAAAUUGUCUACUACAACUAUAAUUGCACUGGAGAGAAAACAGGAAGAUUUGAGUGCAAACAAAACGGUCAAGUAUAGAAGGAGUUAUAUUUAGUACCAUGUGUGGGAUAAACACGAGUAAGAAGAGCACAGCAAAAAGGACGCGUGAACUGACGCCGGCAAGGAACGGUACAAGGGGCCAACGAGAUAAAAGGAGUGAAAGAAGUUCACCCCAGAUGAAGAACACAUUUAGUACAACUCAAAAGAAGGAAGGAGAUGACCUUCACCCCUUCCAAGGCUCUCUGAAGAAAAUUGAAGGUAAAUAUGAUUAAAUAGGAAAAUGUGAGCAACUGCUGUCUGACUGAAAAAUCAACAAGCCACCACACAUGGAAACAAGGAGCAACGAGUUUCCCUGUUCAGAAACCAGUCUAAGAACAGGGAGGUUCUCCUGAUAUUUUCUCCAAGAAAAAUCAGUGCCCAAUAAAUCAGCGUUUGGAGGCCUGGCUCCUGAAUAGCAGUCAAAGAUGAACAGAGGCCAGAAUCUCGCUGACCUGCAAGGCACCACCUGAGACCCCAACUCGACAGUCGCCGCCUAUAAAUCUUCCCGCAGUGGCCACCCCAUCAGCUGCUCUGCAUGUGGAGGGUAACAAAGGAAGCCAGA